GCUUGUCUCAAAGAUUAAGCCAUGCAUGUCUAAGUGUAAAUAAGUCUAUACUGUGAAACUGCGAAUGGCUCAUUAAAUCAGUUAUCGUUUAUUUGAUGAUCUCUUACUACUUGGAUAACCGUAGUAAUUCUAGAGCUAAUACAUGCACCCGUGCCCGACUUUGUGGAAGGGUUGUGUUUAUUAGUUACAGAACCAGCCCAGGCUCUGCCUGGUCUUGUGGUGAUUCAUAAUAACCGAACGAAUCGUAUGGCAUCAGCUGGCGAUGAAUCAUUCAAGUUUCUGACCUAUCAGCUUCCGACGGUAGGGUAUUGGCCUACCGUGGCAAUGACGGGUAACGGAGAAUUAGGGUUCGAUUCCGGAGAGGGAGCCUGAGAAACGGCUACCACAUCUAAGGAAGGCAGCAGG
rnacentral:rRNA from 1 species